GUUUUGGAGAUGGGACGUCCAAGAUCAUGGUGCCAAAAGGAGAGGAGGAGUGUUCAUUGGGAGAUGCUCUGCAGAGAUUGUGUGGUCAGGAAGGUACAGGCAAAGAGCUUCCAACAGAUCACAACUAAAAAAAAGUGGAAGGAAAGGAGAAUUCAAAUCACUACCUCAGUUCUUUUUUGUUUGGUCAGCCCUGCCAAAAGAAUUUAGAAUGUGUGCUGCAUAUUUGAAAGCUGCUAAGAGAAUAGGUCUUAAAAGUUCUUAUCACAAGGAAAAAAUCUUCUAUAACUGUAUGGAGACAGACAGAUGUUAACCAGACUUACUUGGAUGAUCAUUUCACAAUGGAAAUAAAUUUUGAAUCAUUCUUCUGUA